rnacentral:rRNA from 1 species
GACGAACGCUGGCGGCGUGCUUAACACAUGCAAGUCGCACGGGGCCCGCAAGGGUUCAGUGGCGGACGGGUGCGUAACACGUGAAGAACUUGUCCAUCGGUGGGGGAUAGCCGGCCCAACGGCCGGGUAAUACCGCGUACGUCGGCGGGAACGCAUGUUCCUGCCGGGAAAGCAGCAAUGCGCCGAUGGGGAGCUUCGCGGCCUAUCAGCUUGUUGGUGGGGUAAUGGCCUACCAAGGCAACGACGGGUAGCUGGUCUGAGAGGAUGAUCAGCCACAUUGGGACUGAGACACGGCCCAGACUCCUACGGGAGGCAGCAGUGGGGAAUAUUGCGCAAUAGGCGGAAAGGACCUCGACG